UACACACGUACUACAAUGCAACGGACAAAGGGCAGCCAACUAGCGAUAGUGCGCAAAUCCCAUAAACCGUUGCUCAGUUCAGAUUGCAGGCUGCAACUCGCCUGCAUGAAGGCGGAAUCGCUAGUAAUCGCAGGUCAGCAUACUGCGGUGAAUACGUUCCCGGGCCUUGUACACACCGCCCGUCACACCAUGGAAGUUGGCCACGCCCGAAGUCGUUACCCCAACCGUUUACGGAGGGGGACGCCGAAGGCAGGGCUGAUGACUGGGGUGAAGUCGUAACAAGGUAACC
rnacentral:rRNA from 1 species